rnacentral:rRNA from 1 species
UACGAAGGGGACUAGCGUUGUUCGGAAUCACUGGGCGUAAAGCGCACGUAGGCGGAUUCGUAAGUCAGGGGUGAAAUCCCGGGGCUCAACCUCGGAACUGCCUUUGAUACUGCGGGUCUUGAGUCCGAUAGAGGUGGGUGGAAUUCCUAGUGUAGAGGUGAAAUUCGUAGAUAUUAGGAAGAACACCAGUGGCGAAGGCGGCUCACUGGCCCGGUACUGACGCUCAUGUGCGAAAGCGUGGGGAGCAAACAGG